rnacentral:rRNA from 1 species
AUUGAACGCUAGCGGCAUGCUUUACACAUGCAAGUCGAACGGUAACAGGCCUUCGGGUGCUGACGAGUGGCGAACGGGUGAGUAAUGCAUCGGAACGUGCCCAGUCGUGGGGGAUAACGCAGCGAAAGCUGUGCUAAUACCGCAUACGAUCUAUGGAUGAAAGCGGGGGACCGUAAGGCCUCGCGCGAUUGGAGCGGCCGAUGUCAGAUUAGGUAGUUGGUGGGGUAAAGGCCCACCAAGCCAACGAUCUGUAGCUGGUCUGAGAGGACAACCAGCCACACUGGGACUGAGACCCGGCCCAGACUCCUACGGGAGGCAGCAGUGGGGAAUUUUGGACAAUGGGCGCAAGCCUGAGCCAGCAAUGCCGCGUGCAGGAAGAAGGCCUUCGGGUUGUAAACUGCUUUUGUACGGAACGAAACGGUCUGGGUUAAUACCCUGGGCUAAUGACGGUACCGUAAGAAUAAGCACCGGCUAACUACGUGCCAGCCGCCGCCGUAAGAC